rnacentral:rRNA from 1 species
UAAUACAGAGGGGGCAAGCGUUAUUCGGAAUUAUUGGGCGUAAAGGGCGCGUAGGCGGUUUCUUAAGUCGGAUGUGCAAUCCCCGGGCUCAACCUGGGAACUGCAUCCGAGACUGGGAGGCUAGAGUACUGGAGAGGUUGGUGGAAUUCCUCGUGUAGCGGUGAAAUGCGUAGAGAUGAGGAGGAACACCAGUGGCGAAGGCGGCCAACUGGACAGUAACUGACGCUGAGGCGCGAAAGUGUGGGUAGCAAACAGG